CUCUGAAAAAAAUUUAAAAAAACUUGACCAAAAUUCCAUAGCAAUUGAAUUCAGAUUCUCUUGAGCCCAGGACUUGCUCACACCAUUUCUCUGGAUAAAGGUUAUUAAAGUGGGAAAUUACCAAUACAGAGUCAAGUAGAAAUAUAAGAGUAUUUAAUAGGGAAAAGUCUUACUUACAGAGCAACCUAGCCAGCCGGUGCGGCAGCAGUCUGUACAGCGAGCCAAAAAGGAAAACCGAAAGUGAAACACAGCCCUGAACCUCUCACUCUACGUCACCCUGACCAUGCCCUAGCAGGCAUGGUUAGGCAGACCUGUAGCCAGCCCCUAAGUAGGCGUGGCUAAGGUUCCCCUACAAUUCCCCUUUUAGUCUAAAAGAGGAUUAAAACUUAACAGUGUAAAGUAUCCAAAAUUAACAAUUACAAAGGUGAAAUUUAAGAAGAUACAACAAUCUGCUCAUGUCACAUCCUAUCUAUCUAUUUUAACUAAACCCUAAAGUCAUCUGAAAGAGGUGUCCAAGCCUGAAUACCUCCUUCCAAUCCCAAUCAUAAACAAUAGGAAGCUAUCCCUAACUAGUUAUAUACACUAUCCUAAAUGACAACAAUGGGGAAAGGGGGCAUAGCAUCCUCCAAGUUACUUCCUGCUGAAAUGGGACGACUACAUCCUUGUGCAGUCCUGUAGGAAAAAAAAUGUUAGUAUAGUAAAAGUCUUGCAUGAAUUGUAUACAGUCCAUGUUAGAUGGGAUUUGGUUGAUUGAAGAUCUCACUUGAAAUCCUCAACUUGAUUGAAGUCAGUACCUGAAGCUCUGGCGGGAGUGUCAGUUGAAAUGGAGCAAGUUGAAUCUAGUGCAGGCGAGGAGGUGUGGCCCAUUUUCUUUCCGGGGUAUCCAGGGAUUGCUGUCAGGGAGGUCUUCAUUGGCUGCGUGGGACUCAAACAUAAACAGUUAUCAGAGAACUGUUUGCUUGUGAUGUACACAUACUGGGAAAGGCAACCAUGGGAGCAUAACAAUUAUGAGAGGGUAUACACCUUGAAAGUAAGAUCCAAGAAACGACAAAGACAGUUCCCAAAUUCUUCUUUUAUUCUGUAUUACAUCAAUUGCCUUCUUGAUACAAUACAGAAACUCUGAAGUUUAGUUAAAUAAUGUGCUUGGAUUUUAGAGGGGGAAAGCCAAAUCCACCUCUAAAUCCAGCAUUGGUUUAAUUGAAUAGGGACUAGAAAAGAGAAAUAGAAUUCUCUGGGGACAGCUGUAAAGUUAACCAUAUGGCACCUUCCUUUUGUUUGAUGGUUAUAGCUACCUUCUCUUCUUAAGUAUCUACCCACAGAGUGUCCUUUGCCUUCUGGAGAUGAGAUUUCCUGUGAAGAUAAAAGCAAAACACUUCCCUUUCCUUUGGGAGGUUUCUAUUUAGUUUAUAAGAUAUACCUUAGUAGAAUAACUGUCAUUUCUCCUCGUGGAGAGGUUUUUCCUUUUCAACUCGAAUCUUGAUCAACUUUGAUGGUAUCCAAAGUUUUUCUUCUCCUAUGGAAACCAAUGCAAAACCCCUACCCCAACGUAACACAUGUCCUGGAUUCCAUACAGAGGUUAGUACAUCUUUGAAGUAUACCGGCUGAUUCAGUUCAGCGGUUUUCUCCAUAGUCCAGUGUCUUUCUGCAGCUGUUUGUCCUUUUUCAUUGGCAUUAAGAAAGUUUAGUGUUAAUAAAGCAUUAUGCAACCUAUGUUUGGGUGGUUUAGUCUUCCAAGCUUGUUUGCUGAGCAUCUCCUUAAGUGUUCUAUUAGAUCUCUCAACCACUGCUUGUCCCGUAGGAUUGUGUGGUAUACUGGUGACAUGCUUUAUGUUAUAAUAUUUGAAAAAUUGUUCCAAUUUUGUGGAGACAUAUGCUGGAGCAUUGUCAGUUUAUCUUAUUGAUUGUUAAAUAAGGUACUGUUUGGCCAAUGAGACAGCAAGUUAGAUAGGACUAGGAGUCAAAGAGAAUUCUGGGAAAUGUAGUAGAGAUGUGGUGUUCCAGGCAGGAAGUGACAUAGCAAGGAGACAUAUUUAAGCAAGUGAAAGAGGAAGGGCUCCCCUUUUUCCUCUUUCUCCUCCAGCAGUGCAAUGUGAUCCACCGGCAAGGAGGGACACCAAUAAGGUGUCCGAUAAGACAAGAGUUGAAGAGUGAAUUGAUUUAUAUUUCCUUCAUUAGUACAUAAAAUUCGUAAGGCAAAUGCACGAACUAGAAGAAACCAUUCUGAGCAAGGUAACCCAGUCACAAAAAGACAAACAUGCCAUCAUCCAACAGCUGGUGGAAGUAAAAGCAGACACCCACAGCUAAACCUUGAAUUGAACUGAAAUCCAGUUGCAGAGAAGGAGGACUGAUGAGCAAAGGGGUCCAUACCAGGCUGGUGAAACCCACAGAAACAGCUGACCUGAACAAGGAAGAGCUCUUGGUCCCCAGACUGAUAGCUGGGAAACCAGAAUGGGACUGAUCCAGACCCCCUGAAAGUGGGUGUCAGUGAGGAGACCUUGGAAAUCUAUGGGACCUCUUGUAUUGGAUCAGUACUUAUCCCUAGCAUAGGAAUGGACUUUGGGAGCCCAUCCCACAUGGAGGGAUAAUCCCUGAGCCUAGACUCAAGGGGGUUGGCCUAGGCCCUAUCCCAAAGAAUAAGACAGACUUUGAAGACCCCCUAUGGAAGGCCUCACCCUCCCUGGGGAGCAGAAAGGGUAUGGGAUAGGUAGGGGUCAGGGGAGGAGGGGAGGGAGAGGGACCUGGGAUUGACAUGUAAAAUAAUUUUUCUUCUAAUUAAAAUAAAAAAAGACUUCCAGAGUGAGAUCAUUGCCUGGUUUGUUUGGACUGGGAAUUUUUAGGUUCUCACGGUAUCAUUCAAGGAAUUGAAAAAAAAUACACACACAAAGAAGUAUCAAAAAUACAGAAAAAUUAUCAAGAGCAAAGCAAAGUUUCAUAUUUCAGAUAUACUGCCAGGAGAGCCCGUGAGCUAGUUGAAUGAAUGAGAAGUCCAGACAAAACAAAACAAAGACAAGGAAGAUACAACAAUGAACAUCAAAAUAAAGAAGCAAUAAGACAAAAAAGAAAACAAACAAAGCAAAAUGAAACAAAAAGUCUACAAAAUCAUUAUUGAGUUCAUUUUGUGUUUGUCAACUACUCUUGGGCAUGGGGCAUGCCCUGAAGUGUGGUUAAUAUAUUCAAUGAGACGCUAUUGGAGAAAACUAACUUUUUCUAUGUCAGUGGGUAUCAAUUGCAGAGAGCUUCUGGGUUAGGGGUUGGUGUCCUUGUCUACUUCCCCUUCUCAGUGCUGCAGUCCAUUAAACUUGAACUUGUACAGGACUUGUGCAUGCUGCCACAGUCUCUGUGAGUUCAUAUGGACAUCCAGUCCUGCUGUAUCUGGCAGAUGUUUCCUCAGAGUCAUCCAGCCUCUCUGACUCUUACAAUCUCUUUGCCUUCUCUUUCUCAUAUAUACCUGUGGCCUUGAUGCGAGGGCUUUGAUGAAAUCAUCCUGUUUAGGACUGACUGCUCCAAAGUCUCAUUCUGUGCACAUUGGAUCUCUGUUGUAGUUCCCAAUCUACUGCAAGAAGAUUCUUUGAUGAGAGAUGAGUGAGACACUGAUCUCUGGGAUUAACUGGAUGUUUUAUUGGGAUUUUUGUUGUUGUUUUUGUUUUUGAGACAGGGUUUCUGUGUGUAACAGUCCUGGAUGUCCUAGAACAUGCUUUGUAGACCAGGCUGGCCUUGAACUCACAGAGAUCCACCUGCCUCUACCUCCCAAGCACUGGGAUUAAAGGUGUGCACCAUCACUGUCCAGCUUAUUGAUACUUCUUUAACAGAAUAAAGUGUUAAAUUUUCCCAUAGGAAAAUUCUGUCUAUGAUCUAUCUUGUCUCAAUUUCUUUGGCCACUUUUCCUUUGUCAGGUAUGGAUUC
ensembl:lncRNA